UACGUAGGUGGCAAGCGUUGUCCGGAUUUAUUGGGUUUAAAGGGUGCGUAGGCGGCCCUGUAAGUCAGUGCUGAAAUAUCCCGGCUUAACCGGGAGGGUGGCAUUGAUACUGCGGGGCUAGAGUACAGAUGAGGUAGGCGGAAUUGACGGUGUAGCGGUGAAAUGCUUAGAUAUCGUCAAGAACACCUAUAGCGAAGGCAGCUUACUAGGCUGUAACUGACGCUGAGGCACGAAAAGUGUGGG
rnacentral:rRNA from 1 species